ensembl:lncRNA
CAUAUGGAAGCAGAAGACAUUGUGUAUUGAUGGAGCACUUGAAGAUGUGUCAUUUGGGCGACUAGUAAACGAUGAACACAGGACACCAAAUUGCAGAAUGAAGUUGAUUGAAGCAGAAGGGAAGCCACAUCUCUGCCUUUUUGCACUGAAGGAAAUUGCGGCAGGAAGUGAAAUUACUUAUGACUAUGGUGGGAAAGAAUGGCCCUGGCGGAAAAAGCUAAAGAUCGCAAGCAUCCCUUCUGGUCUACAGUGUGUUGCAGAGCCUAUUGCCCAUGACGUGGAGCACCAUGUGAUCUCUACAGACUCAUUCAC